rnacentral:rRNA from 1 species
UACAGAGGUCUCAAGCGUUGUUCGGAAUUACUGGGCGUAAAGGGCGCGUAGGCGGCCUGCUAAGUCGGACGUGAAAUCCCUCGGCUCAACCGAGGAACUGCGUCCGAUACUGGUGGGCUUGAAUCCGGGAGAGGGAUGUGGAAUUCCAGGUGUAGCGGUGAAAUGCGUAGAUAUCUGGAGGAACACCGGUGGCGAAGGCGGCAUCCUGGACCGGUAUUGACGCUGAGGAGCGAAAGCGUGGGGAGCGAACAGG